ensembl:lncRNA
AUCAUACAUAAAUAACAGAAAGUAUAAACAUAACGAAAAUAAUAAAAUAAAUCCUAUAAAAAAUAAUGAUUUAAACAAAAACACAGAAGAACAAAAAAAUAAUAAAAAAAAAAGUAUUAUUACAUUUUUUAAAAAGUAUAAAUCAAAAGAGCUAGUAAUGAAAGAUAAAAAUAAAUCUAAAAAUAAAGUAAGACAUGAUUAUACAACUAACAACAUAAAACGAGAUGACAAAUUCAUAAAUAAUAAUAAUGCCAUUACAAAUAACCAUGAUAUGAUAACAACUGAAUAUAUAGACCAAAAUUUUAACGAAAUUUAUUACAUAUUAAAAACGAAAUUUCAUAAUAAGGCUCGUUUCAUUUUUAUUGAGAUAUAUAAUGUAUAUGUUUUCUCCAAAAAAAGUAGUAAAACAAAUAGUAAUCAGAAUGUUACAAAUGCUAAAACCGAAGUUAAUACAAUUGGCUCCAAUGCUGUUACUACUACCACUAUUACCACUACUAAUACUACUACUACUACUAAUACUACUAGUAGUAGUACUAACAAAAAGGCACAAAAUAAUGAUGGAACUUCCGUUUCUACUUAUGUUUUUAUUUUUAUAAAAAAUCACAUUGUAAAAUAUAUAAUAAAGAAAAAGAUACUCGUUCAAAUAUAUCAGAGCACAAAACAAUGGGAAUGUUACAUAAAAACGGAAAUAAGAAAUAUAAAAAAUGGUAGUACUAGUAAUAAUGUCUAUAAUACUAUUAAAAAUAAUAAUAAUAAUUAUAAUAAUAAUUAUAAUAAUAAUAAUAGUUAUAAUAAUAAUAAUAAUUAUAAUAAUAAUAAUAAUUAUAAUAAUAAUAAUAAUAAUUAUAAUAAUAAUAAUAAUAAUAAUUAUAAUAAUAAUAAUAUUAUUAAUAAUAAUAACAAUAACAAUAAUUAUAAUAAUAAUGAUAGUAUAAUCAUAUCCUCACAUAUUAACCUACAUGAAACAUAUAUAGAAGCUAUUGAUUAUUUGCUACAAAAUGUAAUAUAUGUUUUUUUUAAUGUUUUAAAAGAAUUUGUUUAUAUAGUUGCUACAAAUUUCUUAUAUUUUUUAGGUAUAAAAGAAAAUGAAUCACUAGAAAUUUAUUUUAGCCAAUCGAACAACUCAUUUGGUUAUUUUAUUUAUAAAAAAAAAGUUGCUUUUAAAAAAAUGUACAACAAAAUGAAAAGCAAAUUAAAAAAUGAAAUAAAAAGUGCAAAACAGAAUUUAAAUUACAAUAAACAAGUUGAUAAAAAAUAUAAAUUACAUUCCUUUUCAUUUGCAGACGCAAAAAAAAGAGAAAGUGAAAGUGAAAGCAGUAAAAAUCAGCUACUUCUCAAAGAUAUAAAAUCUCUAAUAAAUAAUUUAAAAAUUCAACCAAAAUAUUAUUAUUUUACAUCUCAUAGAGUGGCACAAAAUUAUAUAACAUAUACAAAUUACACACAUAUUAAAAAAAUUCUCUGUAUAUAUUUGUUUGCAGUUAUUAUUUAUUUCUUUUAUACCCGUUAUUUUAUUACUUAAUUUUACUUUAAUAAACAUACAUAACACGUAAAUGUUUGUCUUAUA